GUCCAAACUGCAGCAAAGCCAUUAAAAGGGGAUUUUGCUGAUCUUUCAGAAGAUUGACAUGCUCAUGUUACAGAUAGCCUGCUGGGGUCAAUUCUGAAAGCAAUUUAUGACAACUCAGCCUGUGGCUCCCCUCACAACAGCCCGUCAGGUGGGUAAUUCUCCCAGCCUGAGCAUCAAAGCAAGCUGUCCCCUCACAAGUUGGUUUCUGCAAGUCCAGAGGCCUGCAGGAAAGCUGACACCACCCCAGCUGCAGAGCAUGUGACCCAUUUCUGACCAAUGAGAUGCACCAGUUCUUCAGCUGGAUAAGGCUCCAGAAGUGACACUUUUUCUUGGAUGCAGACAUGUGGAAAUUGCUACCUCUAUCCUGUUACUCACUGUAAGGAUGGCGCUAACAGUGUGGGGGAGGUUUGAGAUGAGUAAAUCACAGGGUGACAGAGCAGAAGAGUAGACAAAUCAGCUUGGGAGCCCAUGCUAUUGCUGGGCUUGUGGGUGUGGG
rnacentral:lncRNA from 1 species